rnacentral:rRNA from 1 species
UACGUAGGGUCCGAGCGUUGUCCGGAAUUACUGGGCGUACAGAGCUCGUAGGUGGUUUGUCGCGUUGUUCGUGAAAACUCACAGCUUAACUGUGGGCGUGCGGGCGAUACGGGCAGACUUGAGUACUGCAGGGGAGACUGGAAUUCCUGGUGUAGCGGUGGAAUGCGCAGAUAUCAGGAGGAACACCGGUGGCGAAGGCGGGUCUCUGGGCAGUAACUGACGCUGAGGAGCGAAAGCGUGGGGAGCGAACAGG